rnacentral:rRNA from 1 species
GAUCCUGGCUCAGGAUGAACGCUAGCGACAGGCUUAACACAUGCAAGUCGAGGGGCAGCGGGGAGGUAGCAAUACUUCCGCCGGCGACCGGCGCACUGGUGAGUAACACGUAUGCAACCUGCCCCGGGCUGGGGGAUAACCCGCGGAAACGCGGCCUAAUACCCCGUAUGCAUCGGCGCCGCAUGACGCCGCUGUGAUAGGAUUCCGUCCCGGGAUGGGCAUGCGGCGCAUUAGCUUGUUGGCGGGGCAACGGCCCACCAAGGCGACGAUGCGUAGGGGUUCUGAGAGGAAGGUCCCCCACACUGGUACUGAGACACGGACCAGACUCCUACGGGAGGCAGCAGUGAGGAAUAUUGGUCAAUGGACGGCGGUCUGAACCAGCCAAGUCGCGUGAGGGAUGACGGCCCUACGGGUUGUAAACCUCUUUUGCCGGGGAGUAACCCAUGCCACGUGUGGCAUGCUGAGAGUACCCGGCGAAUAAGCAUCGGCUAACUCCGUGCC